rnacentral:rRNA from 1 species
GAUGAACGCUAGCGGCAGGCCUAAUACAUGCCAGUCGAACGAGAUUAAGAGGCUUGCUUCUUAUGAAAGUGGCGCACGGGUGCGUAACGCGUAUGCAACCUACCUUAAUCAGGGGGAUAGCCCGAAGAAAUUCGGAUUAAGACCGCAUAAAAACACAGGAUAGCAUUAUCCAAUGUUCAAAUAUUUAUAGGAUUAAGAUGGGCAUGCGUGUCAUUAGCUAGUUGGCGGGGUAACGGCCCACCAAGGCGACGAUGACUAGGGGAUCUGAGAGGAUGACCCCCCACACUGGUACUGAGAUACGGACCAGACUCCUACGGGAGGCAGCAGUAAGGAAUAUUGGUCAAUGGAGGGAACUCUGAACCAGCCAUGCCGCGUGCAGGAAGACAGCCCUCUGGGUCGUAAACUGCUUUUAGUCGGGAAUAAACCUUUCUACGUGUAGGAAGCUGAAUGUACCGAAGGAAUAAGGAUCGGCUAACUCCGUG